AUUGAACGCUAGCGGGAUGCUUUACACAUGCAAGUCGAACGAGUGGCGGACGGGUGAGUAAUAUAUCGGAACGUGCCCAGUAGCGGGGGAUAACUACUAGAAAGAGUGGCUAAUCCCGCAUACUAUUGGAGCGGCCCAUAUCGGAUUAGCUAGUUGGUGGGUGAAAGGAUCACCAAGGCCACGAUCCGUAGCUGGGUUGAGAGGAAGACCAGCCACACUGGGACGUAGACACGGCCCAGACUACUACGGGAGGCAGCAGUGGGGAAUUUUGGACAAUGGGGGAAACUCUGAUGCAGCCAUCCCGCGUGUAUGAGAAGGCCUUCGGGUUGUAAAGUACUUUUGGCAGAGAAGCGGUAUCUGCAGAAUAAGCACCGGCUAACUACGUGCCAGCCGCCGCGGUAAUUC
rnacentral:rRNA from 1 species